UGUAAGCGUAUACCAAAGUUGUUGCAGUUAAAACGCUCGUAGUCGGAAUUUGGCAGUUCCGGAUGUGUGCACGUCGUGUGCGCACUUCGCGGGGAUUGCUUUUGUGGUCUUGCGUAGGAUGAGGCACUUUUAUUAGUGAACGUCCUCACGCAACCACUUUUUACUGUGAGAAAAUCAGAGUGCUCAAAGCAGGCAUUUGCCGUGAAUGUAUUAGCAUGGAAUAAUAGAAUAGGACUUGGUUCUAUUUUGUUGGUUUGUUGGGACUGAGUAAUGAUUAAGAGGGACAGCUGGGGGCAUUUGUAUUUCGGUGCUAGAGGUGAAAUUCUUAGAUUACCGAAAGACAAGCUGCUGCGAAAGCGUCUGCCAAGGAUGUUUUCAUUGA
rnacentral:rRNA from 1 species